UACGUAGGUGGCAAGCGUUAUCCGGAUUUACUGGGUGUGAAGGGCGUGUAGGCGGGAGUGCAAGUCAGAUGUGAAAACUAUGGGCUCAACCCAUAGCCUGCAUUUGAAACUGUACUUCUUGAGUGCUGGAGAGGCAAUCGGAAUUCCGUGUGUAGCGGUGAAAUGCGUAGAUAUACGGAGGAACACCAGUGGCGAAGGCGGAUUGCUGGACAGUAACUGACGCUGAGGCGCGAAAGCGUGGGGAGCAAACAGG
rnacentral:rRNA from 1 species